UGGUCUGUCACAUUGGCUGCAGAUGAAGCAGGGUUUGUUGUGGUCAAGCAGAUGUGGCCAAGAGCAGAGCCCUGGCUGCAGGGGUGGGCACGGGGCAGGCAUGCAAGGAACACAUGGCCCUGGGCUGCGCUGUGCUUCUGCCAUCAUCCCUGGUACAAAGCCCAGGGGGCAGAUGGCAGCUCCCAUGGGAUGCAGAGGGAUGCUUUGCUAUUGCAUCCCGUGCUUCACCAAAUGGGCGCGGGGAUGCAGUAAUGGGGUGCAGGGCAGUUUAGCUGUCCCUGUGCCACAUGGGAACCCACAAUGUGCCCACACUGGGCUGCAGCCAGGGGUGGUGUAUCUCCCCAUGCAGUGCUCAAAGCACCGAUCAGAUCGGGGUGUUCUGCCCUGUGUUCUGCCCCAGUGAUGUAUCUGUGUGCCCUUAGCUGAGGGCUAAACCUGGGGAUGGGGUUUAUUUCAGUGCGUGCAGUCAGGGUGUAGAUGGAGCUAUUCGCAUCCCUCUCUAAUUACCAAUGAGCCAGGCAGCCAGGAAAAAAUUAACAGACAAAAAGGAUGAUGCUUUUAUUUUAGUUUUAGUAACUCUGCUCAUGGAAAAGCUGUGCUGUUACUGCCAGCAAAUGGCCGAGCAGGGGCCAGGGGCUUUUCUGCCCUGGCAGCAUCUGGUUGUGGUAAAUCUGUGCUCACUGCCAAUCUCGUGUCAAUAAAAAGGGCUGAGCAAUUCCCCACGGCCUGCGUGGGGCAGGAGGACAUGGAGAUUUUGCCCAGGCCCCUGAGGGAUGGCUGCUCCCUCUGUCCCUGCAGAAGGGCUGAGCUCUGUGUGAGUUCUGGGAGGGUUUCCACUGUUCCACCAGCUUGGCUGUAUCCACGAUUCUGCAUCCCCUCCCAGCUUUCCAAAGCAGCUGCUGGGAGCCAGCAGCACUCGGCAGAGCAGCACAGGGACUGCUGUAAUGGGGUCCAGAGAAGGAGGGAAGCACCCGGACACCUCGAGCUGCUGGGCUCAUGCUGCAAUGCAGGGAUCCAGCUGCCCCGCACUGCUCCUGGCUCUGCUGGUGCUCCUUGGCAUGCCGAUGGUUCACGGUGCCUGCGGGCCCCCACCUCGCAUGACCCACUCCCAGCCCUCCGGCACCGAGCAGCUCAGCACCUUUCCUGUGGGCUCCAGGGUGACCUACACGUGUGUGCACGGUGCCAUCAGGAUCCCUGGGGCGCUGGACACGGUGCAGUGCCUGCCUGGCCCGCGCUGGUCGGAGCUGCGUGAUCCCUGUGGCCUGAGCUGCUCUACCCCGACCACGCUGCACUUUGCUGCCCUGUCCGAGGUGGAUGAGAUCACCAAUUUCUACCCCGUUGGGUUCACCGUGAGCUACGUCUGCCGUCCCGGCUACAAGAACAUCUCGGAAAUCCAACCCACCAGCACCUGCCUUGAGAACCUGACAUGGUCGGAGGUCGCAGAGCUAUGCCAGAGGAAGUCCUGUGGCCCCCCGGCUGCCCCACCUGCGGGGAGGACCCUCAGCCCCACGGAUUUUCUCUUUGGCACACGAGCAAGAGUGCUCUGCAAUGAGGGGUACCGACUCCAUGGGAGGAAUUUCAUCCAGUGCUGGCUUAAAGGAGAUGAUGUCGAGUGGAGUAAACUUCCAACUUGUGAAUUAAUCACCUGCUCUUCGCCGCCUCGAAUCAGCAACGGGAGGCACGAUGGUGAAGGGGUAGAAAAAUUUGCUUACAACUCAACAGUGACCUACAGCUGCGACUCCGGCUUCCAGCUCGUUGGGAACGCGAGCCUCCGUUGUACGAGAGCAGACAGCACGAGCGGGGUCUGGAGCGGAGCAGUGCCCAAGUGUAAAGAGAAAAGCCCAUCAGUCAAACUUGGAGCAAAACCAGUGGGAAGGAGUCCUCCUCCCCAGAGUUCCCAGAGACGUGGCCUCAAAGCACCCAAAAAGAUUUUCACGAUGGAUAUGAAAAUCAGCCUCUAUAAAAAGUCACUCCAAAAUACCAACUCCUUCCCUUCUUCUUAUUCGAUCUCCAGGAAACCAGGUGAGCACGGCACAACCGUAGGGCAUCCAGCAGAGCUCAUUCAUGGCUUGUUCCCGUUCUGCAUGCAGAGCUCUCAUUCCUUCCCACGUUUCUCUUCCGUGGCAGGGAGCUGUGCUACCUCAGCACUCAAAUUUGUGGUGCCUUUGUACAAAACCCAAAGCUCCUUCUCUCCUGGAACCCACCAGCGAUCUCCGUGUUCUCCCAAGUACUGGGGCAUCUCUGCCUCUCUCCCCAAGGCCGCCUGCUCCAAAAACAUACAGUGGUCUAAAGUUGCAGCAUUUUGUGGAAGUGAGUGUCUCAUUUCUUGUCCCAUUGUUAGAGGUGAUGCUGCAGCACGCAGCACUGAAUGCUGGGCUCUGUCCCAGCUAACGCUGCCUUGUUCUAUGCCAGUGAGGUCGUGGGCAGGCAAAAGAACCCAGACAUGGCAGAAGUGCUGCUACCACCGAUUUCCCAUCCGUUGCAAAGGGCUCUUUUACCUGUAAGAAUGGUGAGUGUUGGUUGGGUUGGAAGCAGUGGCAAGGUGGGAGGUGUAAGCAGAAAAUCAUCAGUGGGAAAGGCAUAGGACCCCCCAGAGGGUCUCGCUGCACGGCUGGAGAUACAGUGCAAAGGCUUUCUCGGGUGUGAGCCUGGAGCAUCCCUGUGCUGUGUCCUUUGGGACGCAAAGGGGGAUUAAAGUCAGGGGACGCUGGUCCCUUGGUAGCAACAAAGAGUGGCUGGAAGCAUCCUGGAUAACACAGCAGGGAAGGAAAGGGGAAAGCUCUGUUCUGCUUUGUUUUUUCCCCCUAAAAAACCUCUCUGCUGCUCUACCAAGUGACUUCAGAGCAAAAAAAAUAGAUCUAAAACCCUCUUCCUGUUGGUUUUCCUUUUUAAUUGUUUUGUCAUUCUUGGUGCUUCUUCAGGAGGAUGGCUGAACGCGGCAGCUCCGACCCGGCUGCGCUGUGGGAACGCUGCUCUGUGCUACCCCAAAGCAGAGCCCCAAGACAUCAUCCCAGCCGGAGGGAACCCAAGCGAAGGCACCGAGCUCCACCCGCGUGCCUGCUGUGCCAAGCUCGCCCUCAUAGACACGUACGAAAUUUGUUUUUCUAAAUUGCGAUGUGCUUGAUACAUUCCAGGAAACGGGAUGAAAAUAAUUGGUGCCAGUGUUGGCUGAUUGCCUCAGCUGCCUCUCCCAGCGGAGCUUUGAGCAGCUCAUUCUAAGGUCACAAAUCCUCUCCUUGGUCCCUCUGAGCAGGGCAGGCCGUGCUCAAGCUCGGGGCAGAAGCUGUGGUUUCCCCAAACCCCUUUGAGCCAUUUGCAGAGUUCCGGUCGGAGCUCCGCGGCAUUGCAAUCUCUUACAGUCAGAGUUUCCCCCCACCACCUAAUUUCCUUGCUCGUUAGCAACACAGACCGCAGCCACAGCAAUCAGCACAAACACAAGGGCACACAGGGAGCUCAUGGAGGAGACCCAGAUACCUGCAGUGCUCCCUUAGCUACGGGAAUUGGAGUCUGUCGCAGUAAUCGUGCAACCAGAGCGCUGACAUCCUCAUCUUGCAGAGCAUUGCCCUCGUGUUUGUUAGGAAACCGUAGCACUUUGCACAUGCCAUUGAAUGUUGGCCUUCCGAUCUUCAGCACUGGAAGCACUUUCUUUGCCAAAAUCUUGUUGCUGUUGUUGGAUCAAAUGUAAAAUGUUUGUCCUUUGCCACUUCUCUUUCCAUUGAGACUACAGGAAAGCUACCAGCCACGAGCGAGUGCACCCUGCGCUCUCGUGUCGUCACACUGCAAUGGAGAAAGCAGAAAUGUCAGCCUUACAUCAUUAACUGUCAUCUCUGCUCCAUUCUGGACCGUAACUGCCUUAUAGCCAGAGAUGCCGGGGUCUUUAUUUACAUUUCAUAAUAAAUGGGGAUUGUUUCUGGGCCCCAGCUUGGAAGCUCAGCUGCCCACUACUCAUGGUGUGCGUUGUAUGUUCUGUUCGGGAAGGUGUCGGCUUUUGGAGACAUCUCCGCAGCGUGAGCAGUUCUUCAUCAUCACUCCUCCAUAUUUGUCUCCGGCUUUGAUUCUGAUGCAAGUUGAGUUUCUGAGAAGUAAGGCAAGAAAGAAAAGCAGCCCAUGCAGCAGUGCUGGGGAAUGAGAGCGCUCCCGGAAAGCACUUUGAAUAAGAGAGGUGACUGCGGGCCUUUGCCCAAUAUCAGCAAGGCAGAACCCCCGGAGGACGUCCGGCACCAGCACAGCUUCCCGACUGGCUCC